rnacentral:tRNA from 1 species
AAUGCCUUAGCUCAGGUGGACAGAGCAGUCGCAUUUGGAGCGCGACGUGGCAGGGGUUCGAAUCCCUUAGGCAUUU